rnacentral:ribozyme from 1 species
UGCCCAGCAACUCCUAUCCCUACCUCCGCAUGGUACCGGCUGGGAACUGUGAACAACCUUAGGGAAGUUCGGGUAAACAAUCCCGGUGAGAACUUUGGUAGUAGGGAAGG